rnacentral:rRNA from 1 species
AUUGAACGCUGGCGGUAGGCCUAACACAUGCAAGUCGAACGCGAAAGUCCUUCGGGAUGAGUAGAGUGGCGGACGGGUGAGUAACGCGUAGGAAUCUGUCCUGUAGUGGGGGAUAACGUUUCGAAAGGAACGCUAAUACCGCAUACGCCCUACGGGGGAAAGCGGGGGAUCUUCGAACCUCGUGCUAUAGGAGGAGCCUGCGUCGGAUUAGCUAGUUGGUGAGGUAAAGGCUCACCAAGGCGACGAUCCGUAGCUGGUCUGAGAGGAUGAUCAGCCACACCGGAACUGAGACACGAUCCGGACUCCUACGGGAGGCAGCAGUGGGGAAUAUUGCGCAAUGGGCGAAAGCCUGACGCAGCCAUACCGCGUGUGUGAAGAAGGCCUUCGGGUUGUAAAGCACUUUCAGUGGGGAGGAAAAGCUGGUGGCUAAUAUCCAUCGGCCGUGACGCUACCCACAGAAGAAGCACCGGCUAAUUCCGUGCCAGCCGCCGCAGUAAUAC